AUGGUCUUAGAAGUGAGAUGUCAACUUAUGGAGAUGUCUACAGUUAUGGGAUCCUAUUAUUGGAGAUAGUAACAGGGAAGAGACCCACUGAUAGCAUGUUUGAGGAAGGCCUUAAUCUUCAUAGCUUUGCUAGGAUGGCCUUGCCUGACCAUGUGAUGGAGAUUGCAGACCCGGUACUCCAAGAGAAUGACAAAGAAGAGGAAGGAGCAACAGCAGCAGAUACUGCUGUUGCUGCCAGUACUUGGGAAUCAAUUCAAGUGAACAAUGGUGACAGAAUGGUGAAUGUCUAAUUUCCAUGCUCCAUACUGGAGUGGCAUGCUCUAAAGAGUUUCCACAAGGUCGAAUGAGCAUUAGUAAUAUCCUCCAUGAACUUCAUUUGGUCAAGAACAAACUCCUUCAAGAUGAACUUUAAACAAGGAAGCCGCAAAGAUAAUUGGACAAUGGUGGGAGCAAGCACGGCAUGUUUUCUAUUGACAAUAUGAAGCUUUAUGCUUGUCAAAGCUGUGUGAAAUGGUAAACACUUGGUCAAAAAGGAAGAGGAUUAUGCCUGUACUUUUAACUUCAAACUGGGAACCUAUAUGUCACAAAGUGUAUACAUAAUUUGAUUAUCAGAUUAUUUCCAAUUUAGUCCAUGUGAGAAUGAUAAUGUGUAUUCAAACUGGUGUCAAGGAGUCAGGGCCGGCCUUGAGUUUUAAGGGGUCCUAGGCAAACUGUUGAGAGAGGCCCUUCUAUUUGUUUCUUGCUUUCAAUAAAUUUAGCAAGCACUCUCGAUUGAGAUUGAAUAA